UCAAGAAAUUUAAGGGCGUAUGGUGGAUGCCUAGACAUCAAACAGCGAUGAAGGACGUGGCGUAGCUGCGAUAAGCUUCGGGGAGGCGCUUAGCAACCUUUGAUCCGGAGAUUUCCGAAUGGGGAAACCCUAUUGAGUAAACCUCAAUAACUCUGACGUUACGUCGGAGAGUAAACCCGCUGAAGUGAAACAUCUCAGUAAGCGGAGGAAUAAAAAACAAAUCCGUCGCAAGAUGGACAAUUCCCUUAGUAGCGGCGAGUGAAAAGGGAAGAGCCUAAACCCAUCUAUAAUUUAGCAAUAAAUUAUAAGUGGGGGUUGUAAGAUAAGAACGCUCUUUUGCUUUUUGCGAAGUUUUUUUAAAAAAUUUCGCGAUUUGCGAAAGGUGAAGGAGUUACAAAUUCUUUGAUUAGCCGAAUCAGCUGGAAAGCUGAACCAAAGCGGGUGAUAGUCCCGUAGGCGAAAAUUAAAGAACUCUUUAGUUUUUAAUCUUAAGUACCUCGAGGACAGAAUGCUUCGAGGGAAGCAUCCGGCACUAUCCGGAAAGGCUAAAUAUGUUUGGUGAUCGAUAGUGAACUAGUACCGUGAGGGAAAGGUGAAAAGCAGGCCGGUUAGGCCGAUGAAAUAGUAUCUGAAACCAUAUGUCUACAAGGAACGGAAGUCCUCAGUGCUUCGCACUGAAAUUUUCAAUGAUCAAUUUUUAAUUUUCAUUCAAUUUUCAAUGUUUUAAUUUUUAAAUAAUUAAUUCAUUAAAAUUUUAUUGGAAAUUGUAAAUUGUAAAUUGAAAAUUGGAAAUUCCAAUGCGGAGCAUUGGACGACCGUGUGCCUAUUGAAGAAUGAUCCAACGACUUUAUUUGCAUUGCUUGUCUAAGCUUUACGGAGCGGAGGCAUAGCGAAAGCGAGUGUUAAUAGCGCGAAAUAAAAGCAGUGUGAGUAAGACCCGAAGCCAAGCGAGCUUGUCCUGGCCAGGAUGAAAGUUGACGAAAGUCGGCUGGAAGUCCGAACCGGUGAGCCGUUCAACACUCUCGGAUGAGCUGGGACAAGAAGUGAAAAGCUAAUCGAGCUUGGUAAUAGCUGGUUCUCUCCGAAAUAGUUUUAGGACUAGCGUCGGAUAAAAACAUGCGUGGGGUAGAGCUACUGGUUAAGAAGUAAAGGGGGAAACUCCGACUUCUCAGUCAAACUCCGAAUACGCGCAUGUAUGUCCGGCAGUCAGAACGUGGGGGCUAAGCUCCAUGUUCGCAAGGGAAACAGCCCUUAUCGUCGUCUAAGGUCCCUAAAUAUUUGCUAAGUGUUAAAGGUAGUAAUUCGCCAUUGACAGGUAGGAGGUUGGCUUAGAGGUAGCCACCCUUUAAAGAGUGUGUAACAACUCACUACUCGACGGCGAGUUGCGCCGAAAAUUUACCGGGGCUAAGCAAAUUACCGAAGACACGGAUCAUGUGCAUCUCACUAUUGUGAGAUGUUAAAAUCAAAAUUAAAAAAUCAAAAAUCAAAAUUACAAUUAAAAAAUACUAAAUGUUUUAAAUUAAAAAAUAUUUUAAAAUUUUACAUUGUCAUUUUACAUUUUGAUAUUUACAUUUUGAAUUUUGAGCACGUCGCGAUAGCGAGGUGCGUAUGGUGGUAGGAGAGCAUUUUAAACGCGCUGAAGGUUGACCCGCGAGGGCAGCUGGAGUGUUUAGAAGAGAGAAUGUUGGAAUGAGUAACCGUAAAUCCGGGUGAGAACCCCGGACCCCGAAAAUCCCAGGUUUCCUGAGCAACGGGAUUCAGCUCAGGGUUAGGCGAUCCUAAGGCAAUGGCGAAAGCCGCAGCUGAUGGGAAGCCGGUUAAUAUUCCGGCCCGCCUGUGUAAUGCGAUGAAGCGACGAAGAAAAUGAGAUUAGGUGCCUUAAUGGUUUGGCAUUGUUUGUUUUUUAGAAUUUCCGCCAAGGAAAAUCCGGGCGGAUGCUUUUAAAGGCAAAAUUCUGAAACUGACAAAAUCCGACGUCAGUUGGAAAUCCGAUCGAAGAGUCUUCCGAGAAAAACUUCUAAGCUUAAUUAUAUAGGCAUCGUACCGUAAACCGACACUGGUGGGUGAGGCGAGAAGCCUAAGGGGAACAAGUGAUUUCUCGUUAAGGAACUCGGCAAAAAAGCGGCCGUAAGUUCGCAAUAAGGCCUUCCGCCAAAAUUUUUUGCGCAAGCAAAAACUUAGGCGGAUGCAGCGAAAGUAUCUCUGGCGACUGUUUAUCAAAAACACAGCUCCCUGCGAACUCGCAAGAGGAUGUAUAGGGGGUGACGCCUGACCGAUGCGAGAAGGUCAAGCUUGGGGGUGAUCUGUAGCAAUAUGGAUUGCUCAUUGAGUUAAGCCCUCGUCAAUGUCAGCAGUAACUAUAACUGUUCUAAGGUAGCGCAAUUCCUUUUCGGGUAAGUUCCGAAGCGCACGAAAGGCGUAACGACUGGAGAACUGUCUCAACUAGAAGCUCGGUGAAAAUGCGAUUCCCGUGAAGACGCGGGAUACCUGCAGCGGGACGAAAAGACCCCGGGAGCUUUACUGCAGCUUGAUAUUGUUUUUAGAGUUUUAAUGCGUAGCGUAGUGGGGAGCCUUUGAUGUCUUAAUUUCGGUUAGGGCGGAGGUGCCAAUGAAACACUCAUCUUUGAAAUUUUAAAAACUAACCUUGGCGGCAAAAACGCCAGGAGACAGUGUCUGGUAGGCAGUUUUAAUGGGGCGUUAUCCUCCAAAAAAGUAACGGAGGAGUUUAUUAAGGUCAGCUACGGUCGGAUGGAAAUCGACCUGAUUGUGUAAAGGCAUAAGCUGGCUUGACUGCAAGGCUGACGAGCCGCGCAGCCGCGAAAGCGGAACUUAGUGACCCGACGAUUCUUUAUAGGAAGGUCGGAGACAACGGAUAAAAGCUACCCCGGGGAUAACAGGCUAGUGUUGCCCGAGAGUCCUUAUCGACGGCAACGCUCGGCACCUCGAUGUCGGCUCGCCACAGCGCGGGGGUGGAGAAGCUCCCAAGCGUUUGGCUGUUCGCCAAUUAAAGUGGCACGUGAGCUGGGUUCAAACCGUCAAAAAAGAACCUUUUAUGACAAUCGAACACGGCGGCUUCCAAUAGUGAUAUUGAAAUGUAUAAAUCGACUCAUAUCGGAGAAACCUUAUCAAAAUUUAAACCUGUUUUUAAAAGGCGAUUCCGAGGGAAGUUGUGUGUGUUGAAUAGUGGAGUAAGAAUGGCAGAGGCUCUUUCUUCGAAAGAAUAAUCUCGAGGGAUUAUUUUGAUGAGAGUAAAUUCUCAUAUAGAAGUAAAGACAUGCGCGUUCUGAGGCCACUCGAGGAGAAUACGAAAAACAUAUCGUAUUCUCCUCCCUACUAUUCAGCGCACAUUAACCCCGUAGAGACUUCUCCGACGAAUGUCGGAGAGAUAAAAUCUUUUAAGAUUUUAUAAGAUGUUGAUCUUCUUUAUAAAAAAAUAAAGAAGGUGGUAUAGUCCAAACAAUUAGUAAUAAUUGAAAUUAUGCGUGAGACAGGUUGGUCUCUAUCUGUUGCAGGCGUUGAUAUUUGAGGGAAGUUGACCCUAGUACGAGAGGACCGGGUUGAACAAACCUCUGGUCUACCGGCUUUGCCACCAGGUGAAGCGCCGGGUAGCUAUGUUCGGAAGGGAUAAGCGCUGAAAGCAUCUAAGCGCGAAGCCUAUCCUAAGAUUAGAUAUCGAGACUCGUGGAAGACUACCACGUUGAUAGGCUCUAGGUGUAAGGCCAGCAAUGGUUUUAGCCAAGGAGUACUAAUAAGUCG
rnacentral:rRNA from 1 species